rnacentral:misc_RNA from 1 species
GAUGAAGAACGCAGUGAAUUGCGAUAAGUAAUGCGAAUUGCAGAAUUUCCGUGAGUCAUCGAAUCUUUGAACGCACAUUGCGCCCGGUAGUAUUCUGCCGGGCAUGCCUGUUCGAGCGUCAUUUCAACCAUCAAGCCCCAGCGCUUGUGUUGGGGGCCUGCGGCUGCCGCAGCCCCCUAAAAGCAGUGGCGGGCUCGCUAUCACACCGAGUGCAGUAGUUCAUCUUCUCUCCGGUCUUGUGAGGCGGGUUCCGGCCGUGAAACACCCCACUACAUUCAAGGUUGACCUCGGAUCAGGUAGGAAUACCCGCUGAACUUAAGCAUAUCAAUAAGCGGAGGA